rfam:Rattus norvegicus chromosome 8, whole genome shotgun sequence.
GGGGAUUUAGCUCAACGGUAGAGCGCUUGCCUAGCGAGCACAAGGCCCUGGGUUCGGUCCCCAGCUCCG